AUGUGAUUGACUAUUAUUUGGUUCUUACAGUGAGGAAAUUAAACAGUUAUGCACAUGGCAAUAACCACGUCCAAAUUAUCAAGCGUUCUCUUGGUUACCUUGUGUUUUUCAUUCAUUACGUUCGUCACUGGCGACGGAACAAAAUGCCGCCAAGUAGGUUGUGGAUGUCAAUUUACUAAUGAAUCUGGAACGUAUGAAAUAUCAAUGGAAAAGCUCAAGACACAUGGCACUCAGUA